GCUCCCAUCGUCUAGCGGUUAGGACACUGCCCUCUCACGGCAGAGACAGGGGUUCGAUUCCCCUUGGGAGUA
rnacentral:tRNA from 1 species